rnacentral:rRNA from 2 species
GGACGGGUGAGUAAUGUCUGGGAAACUGCCUGAUGGAGGGGGAUAACUACUGGAAACGGUGGCUAAUACCGCAUAACGUCGCAAGACCAAAGAGGGGGACCUUCGGGCCUCUUGCCAUCAGAUGUGCCCAGAUGGGAUUAGCUUGUUGGUGAGGUAACGGCUCACCAAGGCGACGAUCCCUAGCUGGUCUGAGAGGAUGACCAGCCACACUGGAACUGAGACACGGUCCAGACUCCUACGGGAGGCAGCAGUGGGGAAUAUUGCACAAUGGGCGCAAGCCUGAUGCAGCCAUGCCGCGUGUAUGAAGAAGGCCUUCGGGUUGUAAAGUACUUUCAGCGGGGAGGAAGGUGUUGUGGUUAAUAACCGCAGCAAUUGACGUUACCCGCAGAAGAAGCACCGGCUAACUCCGUGCCAGCAGCCGCGGUAAUACGGAGGGUGCAAGCGUUAAUCGGAAUUACUGGGCGUAAAGCGCACGCAGGCGGUCUGUCAAGUCGGAUGUGAAAUCCCCGGGCUCAACCUGGGAACUGCAUUCGAAACUGGCAGGCUUGAGUCUUGUAGAGGGGGGUAGAAUUCCAGGUGUAGCGGUGAAAUGCGUAGAGAUCUGGAGGAAUACCGGUGGCGAAGGCGGCCCCCUGGACAAAGACUGACGCUCAGGUGCGAAAGCGUGGGGAGCAAACAGGAUUAGAUACCCUGGUAGUCCACGCCGUAAACGAUGUCUACUUGGAGGUUGUGCCCUUGAGGCGUGGCUUCCGGAGCUAACGCGUUAAGUAGACCGCCUGGGGAGUACGGCCGCAAGGUUAAAACUCAAAUGAAUUGACGGGGGCCCGCACAAGCGGUGGAGCAUGUGGUUUAAUUCGAUGCAACGCGAAGAACCUUACCUGGUCUUGACAUCCACAGAACUUUCCAGAGAUGGAUUGGUGCCUUCGGGAACUGUGAGACAGGUGCUGCAUGGCUGUCGUCAGCUCGUGUUGUGAAAUGUUGGGUUAAGUCCCGCAACGAGCGCAACCCUUAUCCUUUGUUGCCAGCGGUCCGGCCGGGAACUCAAAGGAGACUGCCAGUGAUAAACUGGAGGAAGGUGGGGAUGACGUCAAGUCAUCAUGGCCCUUACGACCAGGGCUACACACGUGCUACAAUGGCGCAUACAAAGAGAAGCGACCUCGCGAGAGUAAGCGGACCUCAUAAAGUGCGUCGUAGUCCGGAUUGGAGUCUGCAACUCGACUCCAUGAAGUCGGAAUCGCUAGUAAUCGUGGAUCAGAAUGCCACGGUGAAUACGUUCCCGGGCCUUGUACACACCGCCCGUCACACCAUGGGAGUGGGUUGCAAAAGAAGUAGGUAGCUUAACCUUCGGGAGGGCGCUUACCACUUUGUGAUUCAUGACUGGGGUGAAGUCGUAACAAGGUAACCGUAGGGGAACCUGCGGUUGGAUCACCUCCUUACCUUAAAGAAGC